rnacentral:lncRNA from 1 species
CGCCGAGAGACCAUAUUUUCGGAACAAUGAACCAUCGCCUCCACCGCUAAUGGACCCACCAAUUCCUACAGUGCGGAAAACAGGUGCUGGGAAGGAAAGGUUCGUGCUUCGUUCAUUGAUUCUGUAGUAUACUUCACCCACGGUUGCACCUGAUUGAACCCACGCCUCUUCGUUUUCGACAUCAACAUCGACUGAUCGCAAAUUAACCAAAUCGAUAACAACAAAUGGGACAUGGGAGACAUAGGAAAGACCUUCGAAGUCAUGACCACCACUUCGAGUUCUAAUUUCUAGGCCAUGCUUUUUGGAGCAAUAAAUCGUUGCUUGAACAUGGGAAAUGUUCAAUGGUGUUACAAUAACCAAUGGUUUGGGGGUAUUAGGCGUAGAGAACCUCUGAUUCCUAAUGGAAGAAUCCAAAAGUGCUGAAUAUGAAGAGUUCGUUUCAGUGUAGAUAACUUGAGUAAUGGAAGAGGAUUCCUUGGGAUGAUAUGAAUAAAGGCAUUCAAAAAAAUCAUCGUGGCUAUUAGCUGAAGCACUCACCCAUAACAAUGAGCAAGCAACAAUGAAAAGCAAUGACAGAGAACGGUGAAGGGACUUCAUGUUUAUGGAAGUGAUGAAUUUGUGAAGAUUUCAGCAAGAUAUUCCCCUUAUUUAUAGAGGCAAUGCUUUGAGCCGCCGUGUGAACAAAAGUUCAAGAAACCCAGGUAUUUGAAGUCAAUUCAUAUAUAAUAAUGGCACAGGCUGCUCAAAACUUUCGUAUUUAUGUUUUUUUUUAUAUUGAUAAUAAUAUAACAUUAACUAAAUUAGGACCCAAUCAAUUCUUUUUUUUUUUAAUUUAGAAACUACCACUUAAAAUAAUAUUUGAAUUUAAAUUUUAAAAUUAUUAUUCAUUGUGGAUUCGAAGCGGUCAACAAGAUAUUCCCCUUAUUUAUAGUGUCAAUGCUUUGAGCCGCCAUGUGAACCAAAGUUCAAGAAACCCAGGUAUUUGAAGUCAAUUCAUAUAUAAUGAUGGUACAUGCUGCUCAUUUCCUUGUCUAAUUAAAUUGGGUUUUUUAAUCACUCAAAUUUAUUCCAAAACAAUGGUAAAAAAAAUAAAUUUCUCUAUAACUGGUGUCGUAACUUGUGAACCAAACACAAUAUCUCAUCCCUAUUCUUAAAUACUCAACACUUUCGUAUUUAUGUUUUUUUUAUAUUGAUAAUAAUAUCAAUAUUAAUUAAAUUAGAACUCAAUCAGUUCCUUUUUUUUAUUUAGAAACUAUCAUUUGAAAUAAUAUUUGAAUUUAAAAUUUAAAAUUAUUAUCCAUUGUGGAUUCGAAGCGGAUGCAGAUAGAUACCUUAAAUAAUAAAUAUUCAUUAUUCAAAUCCACAUUACUUAUGCUUAUAAUUUUGAUUUUAUAUAGAUAAAUAAUUUUAGGGUGUUCAAUUUUAAUUUUUUUUAUAGAUUCAGAUAUUCAAAAAAUAUUGAAUUUUUUUAGAUUAUAAAUUCGAAUAUUAAUACUCAUAUAAUAUUAAAACAUAUUUACGAAAUCGAAAUUUAUUAAAUUUUUUUUGGUGAAAAGAAAAAAUCCUAAGAUUCUUUUACAAAAGCUAACAUUCUCUUAGUCAAUGUUUAAACUAUUCCUUGGAAAAUAAUAUGAAGUCUUACUCCUAGAUGAUUCACUACUACUAACUUUGUUGUACUGCUUUGCCCAGCUUGUUGAGACUUUAAUAACUUCCAUAGAACUCUAUGAGAGUCCUUGGGAGACAAAAAGGUUUCUGUUUUUCCAUAAUUGCCAUAUUAGGAUUCCGAAAAGUGUGGGCCAAAGGACUUUGUGGCUUGUUAGUUGACCAUAAGUUCCUAAAUUUCUCUUAAUUGUAACACCCCAUACCCAGCCUAAGAGUUAGGCCCGAAUCUGGCAUGUCACAUUGAAGUAUUUUUCAAAAACCAUGUUUUCAUUAAAAACCCUUCUUGAAAUUUCAAACUUCUUGCCAUUUAAAACUUGUAUAAAACUUCUGUUUGCGUUUUUUUAUUUUCAACCGAGGUUUAUUAAAAAGUUAUUACCUUCAAAACUUCUUGCCAUUUAAAACUUGUAUAAAACUUCUGUUUGCUUAAUUUAAAGCAAAUGAUUUACGAAAACGUGAUAUUUAUUAAUUGAGGUGUGGAAACGUAGUGUUAGAAAACAGUUAUUGUUUUGGAAAAUCGUGUUCUACUUCCAGCAGAUAUAAAUCACAAUCACAUCAAAUUCCAAAUUUAAAAUCCAGAUAUUAUAGAGGCCUUAUUACACCCCAAAUCAAAAUCAAAUUUGCUUUAGUAAAUGAGCAAAACAGAAUAAAACUUAUGUAGUUGUGUGGCCCUCUCUGAGUCCCUCGCAGCUCCAAACCAUCUAACGCUAGGGAUUACUUGAAAGGUUAUAAAAAAAGGGGUGAGUUUACGAAAACUCAGUGUGCAAUCCCCUAAAUAAAGAAACAGUCAGUAUACAGAAACAAAAACAGUUUGGGCCUGAGCCCUUUGACAGUAACAGUACAGUGUGGGCCUUAGCCCUAUACAAAAACAGUGUAGGCCUAAGCCCGACACAAUAUCAGUAUGCUGUAAGUAUGCAAACCCAUCCCAAUCCAGCCAACAUACCACCCAUACCAACCCAACACACCAUGUGGGGAUAGAGUCAACCCAUCCAGCCCUCACACUAAUAUCGCAGCAUAGCUGCCAGUAGUAAUAAUGCAGCAGAGCUGCCAGUAGUCAGAAUGGCUAAAAGCCGUAAACAGGAUAGCUAUAAGCUAUAAACAGAAUGGUAAUAUGAUUGGCACAAAGCCAUCAGUAGCAGUGUUAUGAUCGGUACACAGUAAUCAGUAACUGUAAUAUGAUCGACACAAAGCCAUCGGUAAUGGUAAUAUGAUCGACACAAAGCCAUCAAUAACGGUAAUAUGAUUGGCACAAAGCCAUCAGUAGUAUCACAGUAAAGCUACCAGUAAUAGUAUAUGUGGCCAAGCCACCAGUAAUAGUGAUUGUGGCAGAGCCACCAAUAUAGUACUUCCUCCAUAACAGUAUUCCAACCCCAUGCAGUAUGUCGUGUAUGCAGAAUGCCAUACUCAGAAUCAGUCAUACCAAACACAGACAAAGCAAUCAUUUACAUCAAGGACAAAUCAAUCAUUUAUGUCACAGACAAUUCAAACAUUAACCUCGAGGGGUAAAAUAGUCAUUUUACUCUUUGAGGGUAUAUCAGUCAAUUCACCUAGUAGAGGCAUUACAGUCACUUUACCCUACAGAGGUAUUACAAUUAUUUUACCGUAUGGGGGUAUAUCAAUCAAUUCACCUAACAGAAGUAUUACAGUCAUUUUACCCUAUAGAGCAUUAUGGUCAUUUUAUCCUACAGGGGUAUUACGGUCAUUUUACCCUAUAAGGGUAUUAUGGUUAUUUUACCCUAUGGGGGUAUAUCGAUCAAUUCACCUAACUAAAGUAUUACGGACAUUUCACUCUACAGGGGCAUUACGGUCAUUUUACCCUACAGGGAUAUUAUGGGCAUUUUACAAACAUUAGGGUCUCGAUACUUAUUAUAACCUUCUAAAAGGUCUAUCAUCAUUUCGAGCGACUCAGAUAACCUACACGGCUAGAACAGUGUAAUUUGGCCCAAAACCCGCUAUUAGGCCCAAAUGGGCCCACACGCUCGUGUGGCCCAUUUAGUCUAGAUUCACAUACGAUAUCACGAGCCUCAUAAACCAACCUAUCAAUGAUCCCUUACCAUGGAUUUUACCCGUGUGGGCCUACAAUCCCAUUAGCCCUACGCAACCCAUUUCGACUCAUCGAGGCCCAUAACGACCCCGGCUAUGCAAACGUCACAGUCCAAACAAUACUUACCACAUCAUAUACAUUUUAUCUGUGUGACCCACUGGGUCCACAUAGCCCAUUUCGGCCCAAUAAGGCCUAGAACAGCCCAAGACCACAAGAGCACUCGUGGUGGCCUCUACAAACUAACACUCCUAUUUGCAGGCUCGGUUCACCACACGCAUGAUCGCACAUUCGUGUGGCAUCAUAUAUCAUAUUUCUAGCUUUUCGGCAUUUGUCGAAUUACAGAAGAGACAGUGUGAUUACACACACUUUCAGCUUUAUGACAGUAAUGAUUUAUAGUGUACAAUUACACAUACCUGAAUACGAACUCUUGCGAACAGCCUACGAACACUAUUAAAACAAAGUAUUUAUCAAUCGCUUGACAAUAGGAUCUCAACCUUCCUUGAUAGUUAUCUGCAUAUAAAGCGAAUUUAGUAAUCAAUAUUGUUUAUGCAUAUGGGUUGAAUCUAUGGUUAUUAGCCUAAAGAAAACACAAACCCCAAAUAAGAGAAAAGCAUAUUCGGCCAAUACCAACCCACAACAACAUAUUCCAGUUUAGAUUAUUCAAUGCGAGUAGUAUUACCUUUGAUCAAGAACGAAAGAGAAGGGUUCAAUCUUUUCUACAGUGCUAAGGAAUUCUUCCACUCUUCACGAAUUCCUUAAAUCCGAAAGAACACCAUAAAAAAGUAAAAAAAAAAGAAGAUAAGAAUCGACAUCUAAGGAAAUAGAAGUGAAAACCUGAAAGUGUAGAGAUAUAGGGACCUACCAAUCGAUAUUCUGCCAAUGGAAACUAUUUGAGUGACAGGGAAGAGAAGUUAGAAUCGAGAGGAAUAUGAGAUAGUUCGAGAGGAAUAUGAGAUGGUCAUCCACCACGACUUAAGAGAGAGGGAGAAUAGAAGAGAACCGACAAUCAAGGACAAGGAAGAGGGUUGAUGGAACAAACAAUAUUCGACUAACAAAGGAGGAAACGUUCGGCUACCCAAAACCUAAAAUAAGUAAAGGCAAAGUACCAAUGAGGGAAAAAAAGUUGAUCCAGCAAAGAACGAUUUUGAAGAACAAAAACCCAAUUACCCGAAUGGACAAUAAUGGUACUCGGCUACCAAAACACACAAUACACGAAAGGGAGAAAAAUAGGACAAAAAGAGGUAAAUGUUUUUGAAAUGGAGAGAAAAAAAUGCACAACCUAUUUCAACACAAGAAUAAAAGUUAUAUGACUGAAUUUGUACUAUUGAAAACCCACUUUCGGCCAACUGCUACAACACCCCUAAUUCCACUCCCUAAAUCUCUUAACACCCCUAAUUUGAAACACUUUCAAACUUCUCUAAAUCUUUAUCCUAUGAAUCACUCCCCCAAGACCAAUUCCACAACCACCUGAGCAGAAUCCCACUACAACAUAGCCACUCUUGCAUCACAACUGCAAAAUAAAACCUCCCUUACUCAUCCCAAGACUUCAACCUUAGACCUCAUGCUGGCUGUAAUGCCACCUUGCCACUAGACCACCCACUCUUUUUGUGUAACCUUUUACCAUAUUUCAUUCUUAAGCCUAUUUACUUACUCCCAGGGUUUUAUUCACCUAAAACUGAAAUUUUUGUUACAGCCUAGGUUUGAAGUCAAGACUUCUGCAAUACUUCUCAGGAACCUUAACCACUAAAGCAGACAUACUUUUGUAUUAUUCACUUGCACAGCUAAAAUAUCUAAGAGUAAUAUCCUAUCCACUUCCAAGCUCAAUGCCCAAUACUUCUAGGCCCAAAAUUUGAGGCGUUACAUUAAUCCACUCAAGCAGACUGCUAGAGAAAAAUUGGGACCAUCUUAUUUCUAGCACGAUUAAUUUUUAAAUGUCCUUAGCAAUUGGGCAAUCCCUAAUAUCUUAAUUAAGUUGAUAUUGGUAUCAGGAUUGUUGAAGCAAAAUAAAAAUGAUAUUCGUAUACAAUAUUCUAAAUAGCAUGCAUUGGAAAGGAUUAUGAGCGUUACUCUAAUUUUAUGAGAAUGUAUUGGAUGCUUUUAUUCUAGUUAAGAGAAGCAUGGAGGGUAAGAGGUUUGGUUUUGUGAGGUUUGCUAAUCUAGAGAAUGUUCAAAGGGUAAUUUUAAGGCUAGAUGGUUUUGUGAUUUUAGGAAAAAAGGUUUGGGUGAAAAUAGCCAAAUUCAGUGGCAAAAGGAAGGCAUGGAAAAAAGUCCAAGCAAAGAAAGUUUUAAGCCAAAAAGAGAUGAUGUAGUCGAGAGGGAUAGGGUAUCAGGAAGAGAAAUGGGAUAAAUCAAAUGGUAAUACGUCAAAUAGAAGGCUAACGUCUGUUGAAAUAGAAAUAACAGGGAUGAAUAAAUUAAAUGUUGUUGAGGGCCAUGACGAGAAAGAACAACUAUAAAAACUUUAGCGUUGCUUGGUUAAGGAGACUACGUCUUUUUGUAAUACAUAUAGCUUGUCAGAAAGAAUAGUUAGUUUAGGCCUUAGAGAAUUAAAUGUUCAGAGAAUUCAGGGUAGAUACUUUCUAAUAGAAGUUCCUGACGAUGAGCUUAUGGAGAUUUUAAAGCAAAGAGACUUGCAUAUCUGAAAGAAUUUUUCAUCAAUAUAGAACCAUGGUUGGAAAAAAUUAAAGUUUUAGAAAGGCUAGCUUAAAUUGAAGUUGCUAGGAUUGCUCUUCAUUGAUGGAAUUACCAAACGUUUGGGAGAGUAGUUGAUUUAUGGGGUAAGAUAAUUGCUAUGGGUGAAAGGCUAACAAUGGUGAAUAGCUUUGAGAAGAUAUAUAUUUUGAUUUUUAUAAAGCAAGCUCACAAACUCGAAGAAAUGAUAAUGUUGGAAGUAGGCAAUGAGUGUUGGAUCGCCGGCACCCCUACGGCGCAGCGGAAAAAUUUAAUAAUCGGCGACCCUAACCACGGAUCCAUGUGUGAGGAACGAAUCGGGGUGAAAAGGGUUACGAAAUUACCUAAUGAUGUUCUGAGUAGACAUCAACUUCUCAACAACGUGUAGUCUGAUCUAAAGUCGAACUAAGCCGCAAUCUAUCGAGACUCCGACCUCUACGUGAUCCACCCAGUUAACUACGAAAGGAAGAAAUCCCCAAAACAGUUUUGAGAGUGAAUUUUCUUUGACGGCUGCUAGACCAAAACAAAGAAAAACGGGAUACUUAUAUCCUUAUUAUUUAUUUUUUAGGGUUUUUAUUUAUGAAUUAAAAUAAAUAUAAUAAUAUUUUAAACCGAAAAUUAUAAUUACAUUAAUUAUAAUAUAAUUUCGGUAAACCAUAUAUUUAUUUGAAUUCAUAUGCUAACCUCAUUAUGUGUACAACAACCUUGUACAUAAUGUGUUGGAAAUCGAAUUAAAUUAAUUCUAUAAUUAAUUUAAUUCAAGUGACACCUAAAAACAAUACCAACUAUGGUUUAUUCCGUUUAUUUUAACUAUAGGGUGUGACCUUGUAGGUUCUUAUAACGUUAGCAGUAAUACUAGAACGAUUCCAAUGUUACAAAUAAUGAGUGGCAUCUAGCAAUGCAUCAUUGCUACCUAAGUCACAAGAGAUCAUGAUUCAACAUAACCUUUUAUGAUUAACCUUUUAUGCAAUAAUCCUUAAGUCCUUUAUCUCUGGAUUGGACACAAGUCAUGGAAUAGUCACACUUGUAUAGUCCAUUCCAUGUUCCUUGAUAUUUUAAACAGACUAUGAUAUACAAAUAAGUAUGGCAUCUCAUAUCAACUUAUUUGAGCAUGACCAUGCAUUUCUAGUCUCACUUAAUCAAGUGGCCUAAGAUAUUACUCCCAUUAUGUAGGAGGGACUUAUUCUAUAUCGACCAACCAUAUCCCUCUACAUCAAUUGUGGUAUAUCCAACACCAGCCUUUCUAGAACAACCAGUUACGGUGUACGUUUGACUGUAUCAAAAUAUACUACUCACGAUGUUGGGAUUAUGAUGAUCUCAAGUCUGAGGAUCAUAUACAUAUUAAUCACUAUGAGUAAUGUCGUGACAAUUACAUAAUAAUCCAAGAAACAUACUCAUAAUGGGUCAGUCCAAUAUGUUGUUCUCUAACACACAUAUUCAUGCAUCGAUUCUGAUAUUCCAUAUCAAUGAUAACUCUUUAUCAUCAAUCAACUACAUGUAACACCCCCUACCCGUAUUCGUCGCUGAAAUAGAGUAUGAGGCAUUACCAUAUUUUACCAAACAAAUAUUUUUUUUUAUUUUUAAAAAAAAAACACAAUAUAACCCCUUUGUAAAAAUCUAAUCUUCCCUGCAAAUUUUUUAAACCGAGACCAAUCCAAUACAACCAAUCCAUUUCAAUAUUUUUUUCAAGAUAGAUUUAUAAUAUUCAUAAAGAUAAUCUCAUCACAUACCAAAACCAAAGUUUGUUAGCCAUACCAAUGGCUAACUAUACAUUCAUUUCACAUUAACAUCUACUUUACUAGCUUAUACAUGCCAUUGAUUUUCAAAAUAAAGUUUCUUUAUAUACCGAAAUCUUGAGGUUGAUAGUGUGAUACGUCUCCGACCAAAUCCGACCUCUGAGCUCUUAACACUACAAAACAGGGGAAAAGAAACACGGGGUAAGCACUUUGUGCUUAGUAAGUUCAUGCAACAAGAAUUAUACUUACCUAAUAUUUUCAAUACAAUGCAAUAAACAUUCAUACAUCCAUUCAAUACAUUAUUCCCCUAUCUUGCACAAACUCAACAUUCAAAUUAGUCCAAUAAUUUCCAUGUAUCAAUAAUUUAUAUAUCAUGAUUGAUGAGCUCAUCAAUUCCAUGAUUUCUAUUUCCUUAUUAUUUUUCCAUAUUUAUCCCGUUGAAUUUCUCAGAAUUUUGAUGGAUUUUCAGAGGUACACUUGAGUGUACAAAUCCGGGUCCGUCAAUUCAUAUUCAUGUGCGCACAUUUCCAUUUCAGAGAGCACACUCCCGCGAACCUCAUCCUUACAGCGGGAUUACCAGUCCAGGCUAAAUCCCCUGUAAUAUAAACUCACAGAGUAUUGUCGGGAUUACCAGUCCAGGCUAAAUCCCCUGCAACGACAAUUACUCUAAUGAGCUUGGAUCUGAAUUACCAGUCCAGGCUAAAUUCAGACCCCAAUUCGGAUUACCCGUCCGGGCUAAAUCCAUUUUCCACAUAUUCUUCGAGAGGGCUAUAUCGGGAUAGGAUCACCCGUCUGGGCUAGAUCCUUUUUACCGUCAAUUCCUUUUCAGAGAUCCAUCGAAUUUUCCUUUCAUUCAACCGGGAUUUAUUUUCUCUUUUCAUCAAGAAUAUCAAUACUUCAUCAAUUAUCAUACAAUAAACAUCCAACUCAUUUUCACAUCAAUAACAAACAUUUCAAGCAUUUAAGAAUAUAAUUCAAGUUACACGAACUUACCUCGAUACUUGUUCGUAACCAAAAAUCUACUAAUCCCAAACUUUUUCUUUCCCUCGAUCUUGCUUCGUAUUUGAAUUUUCUGGAUCUAAAUAAAUAAAUUAAAUCAUUAAUCUAAUACUUUUCAUGUUCAUAUGUAACAUUCUUUAUAAUUCCAUUAUUAUUUAUAAUGCAUUCAAAGCUGUCUCACUGAGUCACAGUCACUAAAUUAUUUAUACCUUGAGAUACGGAACUCCAAAUUAAGAUCCGUUAAUUUUCCAUGAAACUAGACUUACAUAUAUUCUUACCAUAAAAUUUUCAGAAUUUUUGGUGUAGUCAAAAAGUACAGUUUAUUCUUUAAAGUUUCUCCUGUUUCACUAUUUGACAGUUCUAACCCUUCUUCACUAAAAAUUAAUUAUCUCAUUGUACAGAAUUCAUAUGAUGUUUCCACUUAUUUCUUAUGAAAAUAGACUCAUUAAGGAUUCUAACCAUAUAAAUUAUAACUCAUAAUCAUUUUUUUACAAUUUUUAAUGAUUUUCCAAAGUCAGAACAGGGGAACCCGAAUUCAUUCUGACCUUGUCUCACAAAACCUAAUAUAUCUCAUGAUUUACAACUCCAUUGCUUACACCAUUUCUUCUAUAUAAAACUAGACUCAAUAAGCUUUAAUUACAUAUUUUUUUAAUCCUCUAAUUCGAUUUAUACAAUUUAUGGUGAUUUUUCAAAGUUAGAGUACUGCUGCUGUCCAAAACUGUUUUAGUGUAUGAUGUUAAUUACCAUUUUUCCCUAAACUUUCAAUAAAUGAUAAUUUCAUCCCUGCUCAAUUAACCUCUCAAUUGAGCUGAUUAUUCUCAAUUAACACUUUAUCCCAUCACUUUAAACUACUUUAUAACCUUUGUAAAUCAGAAUUUCAGCACUAGACUUUGAUUCCAAACAUUUUCACAAUUAGGUCCUACAAAACUUUUCUAUUGAAAUUACCUAAUAAAAUCAUCUCAUAAACAAGUUAAAGCUUCAAUUUCAUGCUAUUUCAUCAUAAAAUUCCAGCACAUAUUCAUAGAAACUUUCAACUUCAUCCAUAAAAUCAAAAACUAAUGAAUUUAGUAAUAGGACCUAGUUGUAAAAGUCUUAGAAACACAAAAAUUACAAGAAAAAGGAAAGGAUUAACUCACUUGGUGCAAAAAUUAUGAGAAACCAGCUUGAAGAAACCCUUAGGACAUUUUUGGCUGAUGAGAAUGCAGAAAAUGUGAAGAGAAUUCUAGAUAUUCCAAUUUGGUCCUAUUUUUAUGUUAUUAAAUUUUGUUAUUUUCCCAUUUUACCCUUAUUUCUUCAAUUCUUCUGAUUUUUCUCAGCGUAUGCCGCCCAAAAUAUCUUCUUUUGGGAUUAUUUGCAAUUUAUGCCCCUUCUCAUUUAAAAAUUAAGCUAUUUAAUCCUUCUAAUAACUUUUACAUCUUUUUCAAUUUAGUCCUUUUCACUUAAUUGACUGCCCAAACAUUAAAAUUUUCCAACGAAAUUUUAAUACCAUAUUACUAACACUUCAUAAAUAUUUAUAAAUAUAUUUUUGACUCGGUUUACGAGAUUGAGGUCUCGAUACCUUAUUUUUACCUAAUUUCUUCAAUAAUUUCUUUUUCUAACUAACCACUAAAUCAGUAAAAUUCUUUUAUCUAUAUUUUCAUCCGAUUUUCCUAUCAUAUCAAUAUUCAUGCAAAAAUAAUAAAAUAAAUUUCUCUUUAAAUCGGAUUUGUGGUUACGAAACCACUAUUCCGAUAACCUUAAAUUUGGGCCAUUACACUACAUGUUAGUCUUAAUGCAUUAUUGUUGUCCUAUCCAACAAUAAUACUUGACUAAGGAUCUUUUAAGAAUAAUCAUAUUAUUCUUAGGACAUUAUUAGAAAACAGUUUAUUUAUACACACAGAAAAGAAACUGAAAUAAUAAUGGUAACGCCUUAUAUUAAUAAACAUGAUUAAUCAAGUAUGUUAUUACAACCAUCUCAUGAUUGAUCUUUGAGCAUACUCUAACAAUCUCCCACUAGCACUAAGACCAAUCACUUAUAUAUCUAAUACCAAGUGACUUAGUGUGACGAUCAUGCUUCUGUUGUGUCAGAGGCUUGGUCAAGGGAUCAGCAAUGUUAUCAUCUGUAGGUACUCUGCAUAUCUCUACAUCCCCUCGAUCGAUAAUCUCUCUAAUAAGAUGAUAGCGCCUAAGUAUAUGUUUGGAUCGCUGGUGAGAUCUAGGUUCUUUAGCUUGUGCAAUGGCUCCAUUGUUAUCACAUCGGAGUUCUAUAGCAUCCGAUAUGCUAGGCACAACCCCUAGUUCAGUAAUAAACUUUUUGAUCCAAACUGCUUCUUUUGCUGCCUCACUGGCUGUAAUAUACUCGGCCUCUGUUGUAGAAUCGGCUACUGUACUUUGCUUUGAACUCUUCUAGCUCACAGCACCACCAUUAAGGCAAAACACAAAACCUGAUUGUGAUCGAGAAUCGUCCUUAUCGGUUUGGAAGCUGGCAUCAGUGUAACCUUUUACACUUAACUCUUCCUCACCUCCAUAUAUUAGAAAAGUAUCCUUAGUACUUCUCAAGUACUUAAGGAUAUUCUUGACUGUGGUCCAGUAACAUUCACCGGGAUCUACUUGGUAUCUGCUCGUCAUACUUAAGGCAUAUGAGACAUCUGGAUGGGUACAUAACAUGGCAUACAUGAUAGAUCCAAUAGCGGAAGCAUAUGGAAUUUUACUCAUGCGUUCUCUCUCUUGUAGAGUUGAAGGACACAUUUCCUUCGAGAGUGAAAUACCAUGUCCCAUAGGUAGGAAUCCUCUCUUAGAUUCUUUCAUACUGAACCUUUUCAGUACUUUAUCUAUGUAUGUACUUUGGCUUAAACCUAAUAGUCGUCUUGAUCUAUCUCUAUAGAUCUUUACUCCUAAGAUGUAAGUGGCUUCGCCCAAGUCCUUCAUGGAAAAACAACUUCCUAUAAUGAAGUUAUGUUGUAGGAUAAUUUUUGGUGGAUUUGUCUAAACAAGUGUAGGAUUGAUACUAUUAUAUCUAAUUCUGCUCAUCUUUUUUGCGGCCCCCUCCUCAUGGAUGGUUAAAGUUUAAUGUAUGUGGAGUUACAAAAGAAGAUAGAACUGGUUAUGGUGGUGUAUUAAGAGAUAAGGAGGGUGUUGCAAUAGUAUUAUUUUUUAGUUCUGUGGCAGCUAAUGACGCUGAUAUGGCUGAGACUGGUGCAGUUAAGGUGGCUCUGGAAGUAUUUUUAGCUAUGAAUUGGAAGAUUAAUGAUUCCUUAUUUAUUGAACUUGGUUCUUUGGUGGUGUUUUCUUGGUGUGUUAACAAGGUAAUGAAACUAUGGUCUCUUCAAGCAAUUUUUGCUGGUAUUCAUAGAGACAUGUUAAAGGCUAGAAAUGUAUUUUCGGUGGCCGAUGAGAAAGGUAACGAAUUGGCAUCUUCCUUGGUAAUUACAGGUUUUUAAUAGGGAGAAUAUGUUUAAAGCUUGGUGGUGAGUUUUUUAUAUUGUUGUAAUCAUUGGUUUAGUUGCGACAGAAUACGUUUUUAAUCUUGUAUGUUGUAAUUCUGAACUUUGUUGUUGUUCUGUUUGUCUUUGACAAUAGUAUAGCUUGAAUGAAGCAAAAAAAAAGGGCAAUCCCUAAGGACAUGUAAAAUGUCUUAUGUCUCAUAAUAUCAUAUUGGGCAUGCUUCAGUUUGGUUGAUUCCUCUUUUAACUCGUUCAAGGUUAGUAAGCAUGUUUUGUUUGUAAACCAACCAUAAGAAAAAUUUAAUAUGUUGUGGUCCUUGGAAUUUCCAAACGUUCUUUCAUUUACUAUCUUACCCAUUCCAUGUGUUUCCUUUUAACAUUUGGUACGCACUUUUUACUAAGAAUUUCCCAUUAGAUGUGUGAGUCCAAAAAAUUUUGUCAGGACCGGUUAAGGGAUGUGGGGGAGGGAUGUUUGUAAUCUUCUGAAUUAUAUCUUCUGUCAGCCGGUUCCUAAAUGAAUAAAUGUCCCAAGAGCCCUCUUCUGUAACCAUGUCUUUAACUAAACAUUCUGAGAGUAAUCCUUCCGUUGGUGAUGCAUGUGCUUUGAGCGGACUUAUUUUUGGGAUCUAUGGAUCUUCCCAACAUCUGACACUGUCUCCUAUUCCAAUGGACCAACAUAGGUUCUCUUUUAGCAAUGGAUAGACUUUCGCAAUUCCUCUCUAAACAACUAAGCAAUUUUCGCGCAUGAUAUUUUUUGGAACCACCUCUGUCAUUCGAUAUUUUGAUCUUAAGACUUGUACCCACAAAAUGUCCUUUGUAGAAACAAAUUUGAAUCUUAAUUUCAAAAGAAAAGAGGUAUUUUGAUCUUUUACUAGGGCCAUUUUCUGAUUUCCUGCAUUGGAUCCCCAAAUAAAUUUUCUAGCCAAUUGUUCAAUUUCUUCGCACACUUUUUUUAGAAUUUGCAUGGAUUGCAUAAAGUAAUUUGGAAUGGAGAAGAGGAUAGAUUGAGCCAAAGUGAGCCUUCCUGCAAUUAAGAGUUGCUUGACAUCCCAACUACAUAGUUUAACUCUAACUUUUUCAAUAACAAACUCCAAUGUAGCUUUAGCAAUUCGACUAUGUAAAAGUGGAAUUCCUAAGUAGGACCCCAGCCCUUGGACUUUCUAGAAACCGAGAAGUCGGCUUAUUCUAUUGCUCAUAGUAUCCUUCACUCCUCUUGAAAAGAAAAUAUUAGCUUUGCGUGUGUUAACCUGGUCUUGAUCUGGAUUGUCGUAUUGGGCUCCAUGCCCUUGUAUUAACAGCUAUUUGGAAACUAUGACCUAGCCACUCCAUACAAAGCACAAAGAGGUAGGGUGAUAAGGGACAUCCUACCUAAUUCCUCUUGCUAGUUGGAAUUUUUUAGUGGAGACCCCAUUCCACAAAAUCUACAUGGUAGAUGUCGAAAUGGCUGACAUAAUGCCUGCAGCAUGAAUAGACCUAUCAAUAAAGUCCUAUUAGACCUUGUUAUAUGCUUUCUCCAGAUCAAUUUUGAUUGUCAUCCAUUUUUGCUCUUUCCUCGUAUAGAGUGCAUAACUUCCUGAGCAAUGAUGAUGUUAUCAGAAAUUAUUGUCCUGUAAUGAACCCCGCCUAUUCCUGUAAGGUGAUUUUCGAAAGAGCUAUUUUGAGUUUGUUAGCAAUAACUUUCAUAAUUAGCUUAUAGAGAACUGAUCAAAGACUGAUGGAUCUAAAUUAGGAUAUCUCUUCAAGUUGAGCCAUUUUUGGGAUGAGCACAAUAAAUGUAUCAUUUAAAUCAGGCUCUAUGGGCUUUCCUCUGAAUACACCUUUAACCCAUUCACAAAAUGUACUUCCAAUACUAUAUUAUUUAAAUAGAUUAAAAUCAUAAUCAAACCAAGAAUAAAUUAUCAAUUCAAUAUUGGAAAAUAAAUAUGAUAUGAUAUGAUAUAAUAUAAUAUAUAUUCAUUUAAUUUUAAGAAUAUAAAUCUUUCGUUUUAUCAUUUCUAUGUUGUUGAAAGAACUAUAUAUUAUUAUAAAUAUCAAGAGAGAGAUGAGAAAUAUUAGAUCUUUCAACAAUUUGACAAUUUUUUGGUAAGUCUCGUGGAAGCCUUUAUAUUAGGAGUCGGAUUGUAUUUUGUUCUUUCUAUUAAAAAAAUGAGUAGAUUAGUUUUUAUACGUUAAACCAAAGAGUAAAUUGAUUCUUCUAUUAAAAAUCAUCCAUUUCUACCAUUAAAAGCUAGUUCUCGUACAUUAACAUGAGGUAAACAUUGCACACGGGCAAAACCAAAAAUUUUUUUAAGAAGGGGCCAAAAUUAAAUUGUAAUUUUUAUAAUAAUAAAAAUGCAAAUUUACCAUUUUAAUAGCCUAUAUCUUUAUAACUUUUAAAGGAUUGAAUCAAUUUUUUUUAUCAUUUUUAAGGGGGUUAAAGUGUAAUUUUAUCUUUGCUAAAUAGAAAAUUUUCCAUUUUAGGGGUUUGGGGCCCUACCAACCCCCUAGCUACACCCCUGACAUUGUCACUAUCUAAUUAUCUUGUCAAUGACGCUAAUUUUGAACAAUACAAAUGUAUAAUUUUUUUAGCACAAAGGAUUGGCGUGCUUAUUGAUUUAACAUAUAAUGACUAAUUUGUUUGUUAUUUUAGAAAUAAAAAUAUAAUUUAACUCUUAAAAAAAAGACCUCCAUAAUAUUUAGAAUUAGGAUCCAAUUUAUAGAACACUUAAGUACUAAGGACUAAAUGUAUUAUUAUACCAAUUAGGAAAAGAAUUUUCAUUAUCAAUUUAAUGGUGGAUGACGGAACAAAUUCUAAUGUCAAUGCCUAAAUUGAAUAUUUUCAAAGUUCGGUGACCAAAACAGGAAUGCAGGCAUAGUUGAGUGAUCAUUUGUAUAAGUUACUCUAAAUUAAAUUAUGAUGUUUUCAAAAUUUUAUGCGAUAAAUAUAUUAUCACAUGUAUAAUACAGCGUCAACUUACUAUUUCCACAUAAUACUUGUAAAAAAAAGUCACAUCAUUUUAAUUAAUGAUUUAAUAUUUACUAUAAAAGAUAAAAUUGAUCGAAUCUUCACAACUUACGCAUGAUAUAAAAUUAGUAGGAAAAUUUUACUUAACGAGUUUAAUUAUUGUCAUUUAGAUAUUAAGAUUUCAAAAUUUUAAAAAUAUAAAAAUUAAAAGAAAUUAGAAUAUAAAUUCUAAAUUCAAAGCUUAGUCAUAAUAGGAAAAUUUGACUUAUUAUUAUUUUUCUAAUCAUUUUCUGUCUCACCUUCUAAGAAGAUAACUCUUUGAUUUGAUCAUUUCUAUGCUGUUAUAAUUAAACAUUAAAAUUGUAUACAUAUGGAAUAUUAAAUCUUUGAAUAAUUCAUGCAUACGUGGUCUGAAUGUUGACCCAUCAUAACACUUGGAACAAGGUUGAAAUAAAAUUGCAUUUCUAAUAAACUAGGAUUUUUUUUUAUGAAUCUUGCAAGAAAGAGUAACAGCAGUAGACCACUAUAACAGUCUAUUCUAGACCAUAAACAUAGUAUUUCUAUUUAUGUUGUCAAACUGUUAACUUCUCACAUUAGAGUAAUAUGAGGAUAACUCUCUCACCUUCUAAGAGGAUAACUCUUUGAAAAUGCUAUAAAUUAAACAUUAAAAUUGUAUACUAUGGAAUAUUAAAUCUUUGAAUAAUUCUUGCAUACGUGCUCUGAAUGUUGGAAGUAAAAUUAAAAAAUAGUUACGUGUUUUUUAUAAGUAACUAUAUAAAAUUAAAAAAUUAUGAUGUGUUUCUUUUAUAAAUAAUUAUAUGAAAUUAAAAAAAAAAUCCACAAUCAACAUGUAUUGUAGAUAAGCCAUAUAUAUAUAAUUGUCUACCUUUUAAGUCAAUAAGUUUAAUAGUGGCCCCUCUUGGCUUUAACCAUCCUUUGUAUUUGUGCCCAUCUAACACACGUCUUACACCAGUUACUGGAAUUGGAAAAUUACAGUUAGAGCAAAUCAAUAAAAAAUUGCAUUUCUAAUAAACUAGGAUUCUUUUAUGGAUCUUGCAAGAAAGAGUAAUUUCUAUUUAUGUUUAUUUUAAUCAAAGAAUUUGUCAAACUAUUAACUUCUCCCAAGAUAUGAGUAAUUGUAACAUAUAAUCAUCAAUGACUUUAAAAGUUUUUUCUAUAUCUCUAGAGUAGAGGGAGUGACUUAGAACACCAUGAACUAAAUGACUCAACAAUUAAAUUAUGAAAAUAAGGGUAGCAAAAUUUAAUUCUAUUCAAAAAUUUGGAAAAAAAAAAUUGAAUUUCGAGAUAGUCAAAUCAAGUUAUUCAAGGUAUUUGGUGUAUAUAACCUGUCAAUUUUUUUUGGAUAAAUUACAAGAAGAGGGGAAAACCCUAACAACAACACAACUUGAACCCAAGCCACACUUGAGAUGAUGAAUACCCUGACCAUCAAGCCAACACGCAAGGUUCUAUAGCCUUAUCAAUUUUGAAAAUGAGCAAAUUGAUCUCUCUCUCAACAAAAACUACAAAAAAAAUUCAAACUAAUUUUUAAAUUUUAAAAUAUUUAUAAAAAAUUUCAAAAUUUAUAUUUUAAAAAAAUUAUAAAAAUUAAGAAUUCUAUAGAAUAUAUAAAAAAAGUUAAAAUAAUUUAAAAUAAUAAUUUUGAAACCUAAAUAAAUUAAUUAACAAUUCAAGUUUAUCGUACUAAAGUAAUUUUUUUCUUUUUUUUGCAAGAGUUUUUAAAUAUAUAUAACUUCAAAUUUAUUUCUUCCAACAUGAAGUUAGUUAUACUGUAACAAGAUUUUAAUUUAACAUAUUUAACUCAAACAAUUUUACUUGAUUCUAUUCAAUUCGAUUUGAAUUUCAUUUCACUCGACUCUAAAAAUUUUUAAAUCAAGUUAAGAUAAUAAAAUAGGACUCGUUAUCAUAAUUAACUCAAAAAAAUUUUCACUUGAUUCGAUUAAAUAUUUACCCUUAAAUUAAAAAUUGAAUAACUUAGUCUUGAUAAAGAUCUCUAAUACAAAUUUAAUAGCAUUAAUUUUAGAUAAAUUAGCAUCACAACAACCAAGAGGUUUGGAGUUGAUGCAUUUUGAUGAAAGAGUCAUACGAUUUGACAUUUUAUACAUAGUGAAGGUGGAAUUAAGGUAGUUAGUGGGUGUAUCAUUUUCGUGUUAAUAGUGGUAUAUAUAGGCAUCGGUAUGUUUCAAUAUAUAAUUUUAGGUUUACCCAUGUUUUUAUAUAUAUUUAUAGUUUAAUUUUUAGUUUGUUGAUAAAUUAUAUACAUUUAAAUAUUUUUUAUAUAUAUUUAUAGUCUAAUUUUUAUUUUGUUUAUAAAUUAUUUGUUAUUUUAGUUAAAAAUAAAUUAUAUAUUAUAUUAACAUGCAAAUAUAUCUUAAUUAUAUUCAUAUAAAUAUAUUUAUAUUUAAAUAUAAGUUUUAAAAUUAUUAAUUACGUUCAAUAAUUCAAUUUAACUUUUCAUUUUAAAUAUAAUUUUGAAAAAUUAAAAUGGUUAAGAAAAAAAUUUAAAAUUUAGUUUAAAAUGUCAAUAUUUUGUAUCAACCGAUUUGGGCCGAUAUGUACUGAUUACAGACCGAAACAGAUAGAAAUACGCUUAAAUAGCCGAAGCACACCAAAAUUUUAACAAGAACGAAACAUAACGUAAUUAAUACUGAUUUAGGACUGAAACGAUAUAUACCGAUUACCAUGUUGCAACUUUAUAUUCUUAUCUCAUAUAUAUUAUUGAAUUAUCAAGAAUUCCUCUAACUCUCAACCAUCUACUUUUAGUAAUGUUUUUUUUAUUUGUAAAAUAAAGAUGUUUAUUAGAUAAAACAUGGGAAUGGUAGAAAUUUUGAUCUACACACUACAUAAAGAUAGCAUACAUGAUUUAUAUAUUCUCACAUUAAUGCCAACAUUUAUUAAUAGUACUUAAUUAUAGGAAAACAUAAACGCAUGCAUCCAUGAAGGAAACAUGAUUCUAUUUUACUCACACACGCAAUGCAAUGAAAUUUUGUGUGUUCAUAGAUUACAUUGGCUCCGGCUUCUUUCUCCGCUCCAGCUUUGUUUCUUUGUUAGAGUAUAAGAAUAAGUCUGGUAUAUUGUUGGCAUAUAGUUAGCAACAGUUAGGUGAUCUCAUUCAAGUAUAUAAGUCCUAUAUGUGUAUUGAUGAAUUUUUUCAAUACAGAAAAUGUUCAAUCAUUUUUUAUUCAAUAUCCUCUAAGUAAUUAGUUCUCUGUAGUUACUAACAUGGUAUCAUUCGCCUGAAGUUCCUGCAGGUUCUUCUCGUUGCCGUUUCAUGGAUGAUUCGAGUGAUUCUAUCGCUGUUAAUCAUGGCAGUCUCUCCUUCUCCGGAUCUCGUCUGGUUCAAACAUUUCCUCGUCAUGAUACAGUAAAGUUAGACGAAGGAAAUUUCGUACAAUGGCAACAACAUAUUAGGUUAAUAGUUGAAGGCUAUGAAUUGUUAGGGUUUCUCGAAGGGACAUUACAUGUUCCGCCCCGCUUCAUCACUUCUCCAGAUGGAGUUCUGGCUUCGAAUUCUGAUUCGUCUUUGUUUGUACAGCAAGAUAAACUUCUUGCAUCUUGGUUAUUAUCAACAAUUAGUUCUGUCUUGUUGCAUUCUUUUACAGCUGCUUAAUAAGAAAAUGAGGUGUGGAGCACUGUGAAUCGACUAUUCGCCGCUGCCACUGGACCAAAGGUGUCGCGCAUUAAGCACGAACUCAAUUCCUUCAAGAAGGGUGUGAUGUCGGUGAAAGAAUAUGUGGCUAAAAUAUAAACUACCUACGCGUUGCUUGAGGCAUCGGGAUCUGUGGUACUGGAGGUAGAGAAAGUAGAAAUCAUAUUGGUCGGCCUCUUGUCGGACUAUGAUGUUGUCCUCACGUUGGCAUCAUUCUCGACUGAAUCACUUCCUCUCUAGAAGCUUCUUAAUGUACUCUUGGAGUUUGAGAAGCGGCAGGCUCGUGCGGUGACUGAAACGCCAUUUCAUGCCCAUCUAGUGAAGGCUGAUCCGGGGAAAUCGAGGACGGACGGUGUGCGUGGUGGCCGGUCGUCUUCUAUGGCUUAUGGUCGUGGGUUUAGGACUCAUCUUUAUGUCAAAUCUGUGGUAAAUAAGGCCAUUUGGCACAAAAAUGUUACUACAGGUUCGAUCGUGACUAUGGCGGCCCAUCUGCUCCGGCUUCGAAUCUACCUCCGGUGUUCUCUGGUCGUGCGGAUCGUGGAUCUCGCGAGAAUGGUUAUGGUGAGCAUGGCUGGUCUUCGUCGGGUCGUGGUGGUUCGGUUCCCUUUGGUGGCUUUGGACCGUAUAUUGGUGCAUUGUAGCGGCUCCGAUCGUGUAUCUGUGCGGUGCCUCGUGGGGGGGUUGCUGAAUGGUUUCUCCAUGUCUACUCCAUCUACUAGGAUUGCAAAACCUUUUCCCACUUAUACUAGUAUUUACGCAGGCCACAUAGUUGGGCCAUAUCUUGUUGGACCAAGACCUCACUAUGGUAACAAUGUUGAUCCCCUUUUGCUGCGCAGAUUGGGCUUUUCAUAUAGGCUGCAAGGUGAUGCUUAGGCCGUGGACUUAGGCCAUAUACUAGGCAGGCUGCGUCACUUCCUAACGUGGGUCAACAAGCUGGGCCGAAUUCCAACCUGGUUGGGCUUAAGCCGAAUGGACAUAAUUUCGUCCAAAAUAGGGUGUCAUAGUGGACUAAAUCGAGGGCUUGUGUUCAUGAUGUUGAUACUUUGCCGUGCAUUGGGUUACCUCAUAUCCCUGAUUUUCAUGCCUCAAAUUUUUUGACCACCUUUAGGUCUAAUGUCAGCACGAUGCAAUUUGGGUCUAAUUUUGAUAAUGAAAAUUCUCAUGUUCCUAUGCCUGUUGGGACCUCUUCUUGGUGUCGUGAUUCAGGGGCUACAUAUCAUGUCUAUCGAGAGGCCACCGAUCUGUACGAGUCUAUGCCAUACUAAGGUACAUCUCUUCUCCUCAUGGGUGAUCCUACAAAAAUAUUAUAUGUUGAGAAUUCUACUUUACCUACGAAAAGUAAGAUACUUCGCAUGUCUAAUGUUCUAUGCAUGUCUGAUAUACGAAAGAAUAUGUUAUAUGUUUCUCAGUUUGCUAAUGACAAUAGCGUGUUCUUUAAAUUUCAUCCAUCUUACUGUGUUGUUAAGGACAUCCCAACUCGGACACCAAUAAGCUUGUUAUAACUACCAAGGACGCCUCAGACACCAACUCUUCCUUUUAUAAAUUAGUUAUUGUACGUCCAAUAACUAACCAUUGCCGAUCGAACAACCUAAGAAACGUUCGUGAUUUAAAAAUCCGGCAACUUUACGUUCUAGUCUUGAUAUUUGCGUUCAUAUAUGUAGCGACGUAAAAAUUUUGGUUUGGGGUCGCUAAUUGUGGCAAUCUAGUGAAAAAGUCUGAAAACUGAAGUUUGAUUUUAAAAUAAAGAGGGAGUCGCCACCGAUCCUUUUCCUAGGUGUGAUCGGACACCUAUUAGAUUCAUUUUUUUUUAAAACAAAAGGAAGGCUGGAUUUAGGUCUACGUUAAAAGCCAGAGGAAAAUUAGGGUUCGGGAGUCGGUUACGCGCGAGGAAGGUAUUAGCACCCUCGCAACGCCCAAAAAUUGGUAUCUCAUAAACACAUGUUGUCUUAAUUUUCAAAAAUGCGAGUUCAAUAUUAAAAUUUAAUCAUAGUCCGAUUAAAAGAACGAGAAAUUUUGGUUUAUUUCGUUUUUUUUAGAAGGGUAUAUCGCUUUAACAUGAGUCAACUGACGUUCACCCAACAUAGCGAUGAACUCGAUGACUUAAUGUUAAAUCGAUAUAUUGCCUUGAUUAUUGAAAUUGAUUUAAAUCAUGAAUAAAUAUGUUCGAAACUAUGUAAAGCAAAUUAAUAAAUAAAAAUAAGCAAAAAGAUAGAUCUAGAAGCAUAUUGAAGCAAAUAUAAGUGUGACAAUAAUAUUACAGACAAUGAAGAUACAUGUAAUACUAGAAUAAAACAUGAAAUAGAAAUAACGAAUGUAUACACAUGAUAUUAAGAGUAUGUAUGUAAACUAUAUAUAAUGUUUGGAGUAUAUACCUAAGAUAGUAAAAAUAUAACUAGUAACAAUAAAAUAUUUACAUAAUAUAUACAUAUAUAUAUAUAAAAACAAUAUUUAAAAAGGUAUAUAUAUACGUAUGAUAAAAUAAAUGUAUUAAUAUUAAUAAUAAAUAUAAUAGGGGUAAAAAUAAAUAAAUAUACAUAAUAUAUACGCAAUAUAGUACUAAGAAUAUAUAUAUACACAUAUACAAUAUAGUAUUUAAAAAUAUAUACAUAAUAUUUACAUAUAUAUAUAAAAUAAAUAUUGAAAAAUGUAUGCGUUAAAAUAAUUAAUAUGUAAAAAACUUAAAUAAAUAAAUAUAAAACAGUUUUUUUUUAAAUAAAAAGGACAAAUAUACAAAUACCGUAUAAAGUUUGAAACUAGAUAAAAUAAUGUCUAAAUAAAUUGCAAAAUGGGGCAUAUAAUAAAAUAUGAUGGAACAGUUUGAAAUAAAGAGGAAACGAUUAAAUUAACAUCAAAAUGAAAGAAGAGGUACAAAUUAUAAUAACAGAUAAGUGUCAUGGACUACAUCAAAAUGCAUUCAAAGUUAUGAGGACAAAAUGGGACAUUAUCUCAAGUCUCAAAUGCACUGCUUUUCAACCACUCAGGCCGAGGAUUAAAGCGGAAAUAAAAUGAAAUAAGUGGGCCAAAAUUAAAAAAAGAAAAUGCAAAAAGGACUAAAUUAAAUGGCGCAAGAAAAGAAGAAGGAUCAUGACCGAAAAUAUCCCAUUUUAGCCUAAAAAAUAUGCUGCCGUUUCUGUGGCCAUUUAAGCCAUUCCUUUUUCUUUUUCAUUUCAGCUUCUGUUUUAAAGAAGAAAAAAAGAAUGCAGAGGGCCUUUUACCCCCUCUCCCUCUUUUCCAUUUCCUCUGCCAGGGUUUACAAGAACCCAUCAUCGCAUUAUCAUCGGACCGCCAUACCACCACCAUACUUGGUGGCCGGUGAGGUGCAAGCAUGGGCCGUUCGGCCUUGUUCCAAAAGGAUCUCGAAGUCCUAGCCUUUUAUGAGUCGACAAGAACCAAAAGAAAGGACUCCACCUCCCUCUAGUCCCGACGACGGAGGAAAGGUCUCCGGCGAGACAAUCGCGGGCGAUUCCGGGGAGGUUCUUCUUCUUUUUUCUUUUUUGGUUUUAAGUCUACUCUUAUUUAAUAGAUUUGUGUUGAAAUCAAGAGAAAAAAUUAGAGAGAAAAAAAAAUAAAUAAAAGACGAAAUAAAGAAAGUAGAAUCACAUAUCCACCUUUUCUUUUCUUGCUCUUUUUAUUGUUUGUACUUGUUUUGAUCUCUAAUAUCUGUGUUACCACCACCACCCCCUGUUUUACAAAUGAUAGAUUUCGGCUUUUAAAGCCAAUAUUUUUUUUUCGUUCCUUUUGUUUAUUACUUCCCCCAUCAUUCGCAUGCUUUCUUUGCUGUUGUGUUUGUUCUUGUGUCAGGUGGUGUCAGACGCGUGGAAGGCCGGUGAUUGGCGCCCCAAGCGGUGGUGGCGCUCGUGAAGAGGCUGGUGGCUGAAGGCAUGCGGCUAGGGCUUGCUGCUGAAAUUUUGCUGAAAAAUGUUUUAGAUUUUGGGCCAUUUGGGCUUUAGGGUUUUGAUUUGUUUGGGUUUAAAUUUUGGGUCAGAUUUUGGGUUUGUAAAUGGGCUGUUACUUUUGGGUUUAUUAUUUGAGUUAUUUUGUUGGUAUGGGCCCGGGAAAAAUGGGCUCGUACAGCUGCCCCUCUUUGCUCAUUGUCGUGUAACGAGAAUGGAGCAAAGACUAAGAAGGCCAAUUUUGCCCGGUCUCACCGAGUCUUGACUUUAUGGUGCUUAUCUUCCUCAAGUAACCUCAUUUCAGUCCACUGCGUCUUCUUGCUUUGAUCCACUUCACUGCAACUUCAAAAAGAGAUAUGCUUGUGGCUUUAAUCCACUCUGCUACAACUCCAUGGGGAUGAGAUUGGUUUUUUUUUCGUCUGCUCCAUUGAUGCUUAGGGAGAUAAGACUGGAUGUGAUCUGCUCCACUACUGUUUAGGGAGAUAAGAUCUGUGGUUUUGUCCGCUCCGCUACUACUUAGGGAGAUAAGACUUGAUGCGAUCUGCUCCAUUAUUGCUUAGGGAGAUAAGAUCUGUGGUUCUGUCUGCUCCACUAUUGCUUAGGGAGAUAAGACUUGCAACUUUUGACCAGUUCCACUAUAGCUUCAGGGAGACCAAGUCUGGUGUCUUUCAUCAACUUCAAUCUUUAUUCUUACUCGGCAUGUGAUCUUGAGCCCAACUCAUUUCUCGCAAUAUGAAUUGGCUCUUUAAAAACAGACAUUAAAAACAAAAGCUAAAGAUAUCUCAACAUGUGAACUGAGGCUCAACUCACUUUUCGCAAUAUGAGUUGAUUUUUUUGACAACAGAAAUUGAAAUUACCUCAGCGUGUCUUGAGGCUCAACUCAUUUCUCGCAAUAUGAGUUGAAUUUUGAAAACAGAAAUUGAAAUUACCUCAAUAUGUCUUGAGGCUCAACUCAUUUCUCGCAAUAUGAGUUGAUUCUUUCAAAAACAUAAUAAUGAAAACAGAAAUGGAAAAUACCUCGGCGUGUGUCCUGAGGCUCAACUCACCUCUCGCAGUAUGAGUUGAAAUUAAAACACAAAAAAUGAAAAUACCUCAGCGUGCCCCGAGGCUCAACUCACCUCUUGCAAUAUGAGCUGAUUUUGAAAAAGUAGAAAUUAAAAGGUUCAACCCACCUCUCGCAAUAUGAGUUGAUUCUUGACAAACAGAAAUUGAAAAUACCUCAACGUGUCUUGAGGCUCAACUCAUUUCUCACAAUAUAAGUUGAAUUUUGAAAACAGAAAUUGAAAUUACCUCAGCGUGUCCUGAGGCUCAACUCACCUCUCGCAAUAUGAGUUGAAAAAAAUACCACAGUGUGUAAUCUGAAGCUCAACUCACCUUUCGCAAUAUGAGUUGAUCUUUUUAAAAACAGAAAUUGAAAAUACCUCAGCAUGUGAACCGAGGCUCAACUCACCUCUCGCAAUAUAAGUUGAUUUUUUUGAAAACAUAAAUUGAAAAUACCUCAACGUGUCUUGAGGCUCAACUCAUUUCUCGCAAUAUAAGUUGAAUUUUGAAAACAGAAAUUGAAAUUACCUCAGCGUGUCCUAAGGCUCAAAUCAUUUCUCGCAAUAUGAGUUGAUUUUUUUUUGAAACAGAAAUAAAAGCAUCAGAAUACCAAAACAUGUUAUUUGGUAGAACUCAGGUGUCUUUUCCUUUAAUUCAAUACAACUAUCAUCACAUCUUCUUAUUCUACUGGAGUACCUGUAUAUGUCAUGCAUGAUGUUAUCAUGAUAUGCACAUGUUUGUCUUAAAUGCCUUUAUGCCUACAUGAUUAUGCUAUGCGCCUUAGGCAUGUUUGUCGUAUGUCCCUUUUCGUCAUGAUUGUUGAGGAUCUGCGUUCAUCGUUUUGAUUCUCGACCUUCUCUUCAGGCCUCAUACCUGUCUUCGAGCUUUACGAGUAAUUGACGUUUCUCAGAUAUCACCCUUUUGCCCUUGGUUAAACUUUGUUCUUGCUUUGAAGAUCUUGCACUUAUCAAAUUCUUAUCCGGGUAAUGCUUGACAUUUCUUUUGUUUAGAGUAUGUCAUUUCACUAUUUAUCAUUAAAUAAACACAUAAUUAGAUGAAUGAAAAUGGUCAGGUAGGGACAAAAAGGAUAUCUCACAUUCCUUUAUUUCAAAUGUGGCAAACAAAGAAAGUUAACCAAUGAGAGUAAAAAUGUCAAAAAGAAAGAAAAUGUCGUAUUCAACGGAUACAAAUGCUCUAGAUAUUCAACACAUGAACUCUUCUACGUUCCUCAAUCAAUAAUCUUUUCGAGCAUGGCUUCUUGCGUAGAAAAUUUCGAGCUUUCAGAAGUGCUUCAAAUACUGUAGUCUCACUACUUGACCUAUCGUUCGACCGCCAGGUUUGUUUCAUUAGGACGCCCUCUUGGAUUUUUAUCCUAAUCUUUUUGUACUAAUCAAGACGCCCUUUUCGGGUUUUUGCCCUGAUCCUUUUUUUUUAAGAUGCCAUUUUCGGGUUUUCAUCUUAAGCAUAAUAUUUCUUCACCGCAUCUGAAUUCACCGGAUUCGGUAACUCCUUCCCAUCCAUCUCGGUAAGGAUUAAAGCUCCUCUUGAGAAUGUCUUUUUUACAACAUAUGGUUCUUCCCAAUUUGGUGCCCAUUUUCCUCGCAGGUCUUUUUGUAUUGGGAGAAUCUUUCUCAGAACGAGUUCUCCUUCAUGGAACUCUCUUGGUCGUACCUUCUUGUCAUGGGCUGCGAUCAUUCUCUUUUGGUACAUUUGCCCAUGACAAAUUGCCCUUAGACGUUUUUCUUCAAUGAGGUUCAACUGAUCAUAUCGAGCUCGAACCCAUUCUGCUUCUUCUAACUUUGAUUCCAUCAAUACUCGCAGAGAGGGGAUCUCAACCUCGAUAGGUAGCACAGCUUCCAUUCCAUAGACUAGAGAGAAAGGAGUUGCUCCCGUAGAUGUUCGCACAGAUGUGCGAUAUGCAAACAAAGCAAAUGGAAGUUUCUCGUGCCAAUCUUUAUAUGUCUCAGUCAUUUUCCCAAUGAUCCUCUUAAUGUUCUUGUUAGCUGCUUCAACAGCCCCGUUCAUCUUUGGGCGAUAAGGCGAGGAAUUAUGAUGCUUUAUUUGGAACUGCUCGCACACUUCUUUCAUCAUCUUAUUGUUCAGAUUCGUGGCAUUAUCUUAGAUGAUUCUUUCAGGCAAACCAUAUUGGCAAAUGAUUUCCUUUUUCAAAAACUUGCACACUGCAGUCUUCGUCACGUUGGCAAACGAAGCGGCUUCAAUCCAUUUUGUGAAGUAAUCGAUAACCACAAAAAUGAAUCGAUGUCCAUUUGAAGCUUUUGGAGAAAUUGGCCCUAUGACAUCCAUGCCCCACAUAGAAAAAGGCCACGAAGAAGUCAUGACAUGAAGGGGUGAAGGGGCUACAUGAAUUUUAUCGCCGUAGAUUUGACAUUUGUGGCAUUUUCUGGCAAAAUUGAUGCAGUCACUUUCCAUUGUCAGCCAAUAAUAACCGAGUCUCAUGAUCUUUCUGGCCAUAUUGAAACCAUUGGCAUGCGUUCCGCAAAUUCCCUCAUGGACCUCUUCAAGUAUUUUUCUGGCUUCAACAUCAUCCACACAUCUCAAAAGCAUCUGAUCCUUUCCUCUUUUAUACAGGAUAUCCCCAUCAAGAACAAAUCCCGCUGCCAUUCUUCUAAUUGUUCUUUUAUCGUUCUCAUUCGCUUGUUCGGGAUACCUUUGAUUCUUGGUAUGUUCUAAGAUAUCAUGGAACCAAGGCCGUCCGUCUACUUCUUUCUCAAUGCUACAACAGUGUGCAGGGACCUCGUAUAUGCUCAUUUUGAGGGGCAUUAUUUCUGCUUCUCUACUUGCUUUGAACAUUGAAGCCAAAGUGGCUAGGGCAUCAGCCAGUUGGUUCUCUUCUCGUGGGAAGUAAUGAAAAGUUAUUUCUUUGAAUUCCUUGAUCAAUCCAGCCACUAAAUCGCUGUACUUAAUCAAUUUUGAGUCCCUCACUUCCCAUUCUCCACGGAUUUGGUAAAUCACUAGGGCUGAGUCCCCGUACACCUCCAAGAUCUCGAUGUUUUUUCGAUCGCUGCACGAAGCCCCAUGAUACAGGCCUCAUAUUCUGCGAUAUUAUUGGUACAGAAGAAGUUCAGUCUUGCAGUGAACGGAUAAUGAUUCCCGUCUGGUGAUACCAGGAUUGCUCUAAUUCCAUGCCCUAAAGCAUUUGACGCACCAUCAAAGCACAUCUUCCAUGACUUCUCUUUUGAUGACUCGGAUUCUAUUUCUGUGAUGCACAUUAAGUCUUCGUCUGGGAAAUCGAAUCUUAAAGGCUCAUAUUCCUCUGUCGUUUGAGUUGCUAAGAAGUCAGCUAUUGCGCUCCCUUUUAUUGACUUCUGACUUACAUAGGCAAUGUCAUAUUCCGAAAGGAGGAGCUGCCAUCGUGCCAUUCUUCCUGAUAGUGCCGGCGAUUCCAUCAUGUAUUUUAUUGGGUCCAGCUUUGAAAUUAGCCAUGUCGUGUGAUACAACAUAUAUUUUCUGAGUCUCCGAGCUACCUAAACCAGAGCGCAACAAUAUUUCUCGAUGGACGAAUAUUUUGCCUCAUAUUCAGUGAACUUUUUGCUGAGGUAGUAGAUCGCCUUUUCUUUUCUCCCUGACUCAUCAUGUUGCCCCAGUACGCAACCCAUUGAGUUUUCAAACACGGUCAGGUACAAAAUUAAGGGUUUUCCAAGGGUCGGUGGUACUAGCACAGGAGGAUUAGACAGAUACCGUUUUAUCUUAUCGAAGGCCACCUGGCACUCCUCGUUCCAUUCUCCCGGGUUAUGUUUUCGAAGGAGUCGAAAAAUUCGGUCGCAUUGGUUGGUAAGUUGAGCAAUGAAUCGAGCAAUGUAAUUCAACCUCCCUAAAAAUCCCCUGACUUCCUUUUGUGUGCGCGGGAGAGGUAAUUCUUGGAUGGCUUUUAUUUUAUCUAGAUCAACUUCGAUACCCCUUUAUAAUUGUCUAACCUUCCCUGCAAAUUUCAAAUCACAACCAAUUCCAGUAUUUCAUCUACUUCAUUUAAAUACUAAUGAAUUUCAACCAAUCAACCAUUUCAAACUAAAAACAUGUAUAUAUUUCGAUAUCUAACACAACCAUAACAUUCAAAUUUACUUUGCAUACUUAGUCAUUCAUUCUAUUACUUUUUACUUCAAUUCCUUAUACAUGCCAUAUAAAUCCAAAAAGUUGUUUAACAAAAUCUACCGGAGUAAAUCUGGAUAGUGUGAUUCUUGGUGUAGAUUCGAUCCUCCGAAUGUAUAAAUACGUCAAUCUGUCAACCACAAUCUUUGGUAAGUUCCUUGGUAAUAACUCACUACUACUUAUUCUUUUACCAUAAUUCCUUUGGGCUCAUUUGUCACUUACUAUCCUUGAUCAAAAUUAAGGAACGGUUACGGAAAAUUGAAUACUUCACUUUCACCUUGCCAUAGUACAACUUUGGUCUUACUUAUGAUCACUUGUCAUUUGUCCAUGAUCAGAUAAGUGUAGCUAAGCUACCACUUAUCACUUUGUCACUUGAUCAGAUAAGUGUAGUACUUAUCACUUUUUCACUUGAUCAGAUAAGUGUAGCUAAAGCUACCACUUAUCACUUUGUCUCUUGAUCAGAUAAAUGUAGCACUUAUCACUUUGUUACUUGAUCAGAUAAGUGUAGAUAAAGCUACCACUUAUCUCUUUAUCUCUUGAUUAGAAGUACUCAAAUCCGAUGUUUCGCUUAAUUUGAUCAUUUAUUCGAUUUUCGCAUUUUUAUUUUAUUCUCAUUUCAACAAUAAAUACAUUUCAUCAUACAUUAUAUGGUUCAUGAAAUUAACAUUAAAUCAUUAAAUUUCAGCCAUAUGAACUUACCUGGGUCGAUUUGCUGAAUUUGUAAAAGUUCAGGGACUAAUCAACUACUUUUUCUUUUCCUCGGCUUACUUCGGGUUCUCGAUCUAAAAUAAAAAUUUAUUCAUUCAUCAGCAUAUAAUUCUAUUCUAAUUCAUUUCACAAUUUAUGCCCUUAAAUUUUCAAAAUUACACUUUUACCCCAAACUUUACAGUUUUUACAAUUUGGUCCCUACUCAAUUAACCCCUCAAUUGAUCUAAUUUUUCUCAAUUAACACCUUUUCCAACUAUUUUAGACUACUACAUAGCCUUUCAUAAUCAAAACUGCAACACCAAACCCUAACUCCAAACUUUUCACAAUUAGGUCCCUAAAAUUAAUUUCUACCAAAAUUUCUUAAUAAAAUCAUCAUAUAAUAAAAUUAAAGCUUUAAUUCUAUGAUAAUUCAUCAUAAAAUUCCAGAACUCACUCAUGGUAACUUUCAAAAUCAUUCAUAGAAUCAAAACUAAUGAAUUCAAUAGUUGGACCUAGUUGUAAAAGUCACAAAACAUGAAAAAUUACAAAGAAAAAGCAAGAAUUGAGCUUACAUGAUAUAAAAAUAUGAGAAACCAGCUUGUUUCAGACUUCCUAUGGCGUUUUUGCUGAUAAUUUUUGAAGAGAUCUCUAGAUUUUUCACUUUUAUCUUUGUUUUAUAUAUUUAAUUUGUUAAAUUUCCAAUUUUGCCCUUAUAUCUCCUUACUUUCUGCUGAUUUUUCUUGCCCAACCGUCCAGCCCACAAACUUUAGACCUAAUUACCUUUUAAAUCCCUCCUUAUUAGUCACCUAAGCUAUUUAAUCACAAUUUAACACAUUUUACACUGUUUCCAAUUUAGUCCUUUUUAGUUAAUUAACUAUCCAAACGUUAAAAUUUUCUAACGAAACUUUAUUACCAACUCAAUGACACUCUAUGAAUGUUUCUAAAAAUACUUAUGGCUCGGUUUAAAAUCUUUGAGGUCUCGAUACCUUAUUUUUUAUUUUAAUUAUUUCAAUAUUUAUUAUUAGUACACUAUUCAUUAUUUCAAAAAUUUUCCUAACUUCUCAUUUACUUAUUCUCACUAAAUUAAUAAUAUUUUCUACUCAUUUGUCAGAUUUAGUGAUUUCGAAUCACCAUUCUGACACCACUGAAAAUUCAGGCCAUUACAAAAGUGGUGUAAAAUAAAUACUAUUAUAUAUAGAAGCCAUAUAUGUUAACCCAUUUAAAACCCAAAAUAAAAUCCAUUGCUUCUAAAUUUUAAAUAUAGUUUUUAUUAUACUUUUACAUGUUCUAUAAUUAAAUAAAAAAAUCCUAAGUCUAAUUUUAAUGUCAGUCUCUUACGAAUUCAUUGCUUAUUUAUUAUUGUUAAAACUUUCAAGAAUUCAAGGGUUCAUCUCUUUUUUGCUUAUUAUGUAUUGUUAAAAAUUUUAAAAUUUUGGUUAUCAUUAUUAAUAUUUCCUAGAAAAAAAGGUGACAUCUAUAUAUGAUAACAUGUAAGACCAUAUCUGGGAUAUGGCAUUGUAUGAGCUUUAUGAGCUAUCCGGGUAUCCUUAUCAAUUUCGAAUAGUUCAACGGGCAAAGUCGAGAAGCAAAUGACUAUAUGAAUGAGUUAUAUGAUUUAGGUAUGACAGAUGCUAAAUGAAUCUUGAGAAUGAAAGAUGAGUAUGGAUAGAAGUGAUGAUAUGUGAUUCAUAUGAGAAAGAUAUGUGAUUAAAUGUGUUAUUUCCCAAAAUGUGCUCAUUUGGCUAUAUGAAAGUGAGAAUUGAAUAUUAUAUGAGAAUCGAAUUGAAUAAGCUUGUGAAAGCUAAAGUUAGUAAGUAAGUAAGUAUAUUAUUGAAUGGUGAUGAUUUGAUAUGAAAUCAUGUUAUAAACCUGAGAUAAGUUGUGUUUUGGCAUGUGAGAUAGCAUAUUAUGCUUAUGACAUUGAAUUGAAAUUAUUUGUUAUGUUAAGUUUAUUAAGAUACGAGCUUACUAAGCUUUAUAGCUUACUUUGUGUUGCUUUUCUAUGUUUUAUAGUGAUUCAGAUGUUCGCUUGAGUUGGAAGUUGGCGGAGAUCGCAUCACACUAUCUGGCUAAUGAUUUCAGUAUUUAUACCCUUUAUGACUUGGUUAUAUGGCAUGUAUAGGCUAUGUUAUUUGAUAUUAUGGUUGGAAAUGUAUUUGGUCAUUUGAGAUGGUUGAUUAUGAAUGUGGUAGUGGAAUUUGGUAAUAUUGGCAAUUGAUGCCUAUGUGGUUGAUGUAUUGCUUUUAGCCAUGAGAUUUGGCUAAUUAUUAAUGUAAAGCUUAAUGUGAAGUUACCAUGUAGAUUGGCUUGAGAUGUGAGGUUGGUAUGUGUUAUACGAUAUUUAUAUAUUGCCUUGUAGUUAGGCAUGCUUGAUAUGAAGUUGGUGAUGUCAUAGGGUUGUGUUUUUGGCUAAUAGACAUAUGGUGGAUUAUAGCUUGAGAAAUGGUAUGAUUGUAGCUUGGUUUUAUAAUGAUGAGUUGGUUGAAAUAUGGUCAUGUCUUGUUGUGAUAAUUGACUAAGUAAAUGGCAUAGAUUUGAAUGAUGAAUUGGAAGUGUUUGUAAUGGCAUGAAAUGUGUAUGAGUAAAAGUCAUGAUCAUGUUGUUCUGAUACAUGUUUGGGUAAAUGAAAUGAUUGUAUUGGCAUAUCUUGAAUUAUGCAUAAAUUGAGAUUGUUUUGGUUGCCAAUUGAGUUUAGAAAUCGUACCAUUUUAUCAUGUGUAGGUGUUGGAAAGUUAGAUGGAAAAUGUGGCUUAAACCAAGCCUAUUUUCAUGCCACGUAGUUGAGCACACGGCCAUGUGACUCAACCGUGUGACCUCUACACCUUAAUUAAAUAAGUCAGUCAGUUACACGGUAUAGACACACAGGCAUGUCUAUUGGCCGUGUAUAGCACACGGUCUAGCACACGGGCGUGUGGUCGGCCGUGUGGCCAAGUCAGUAUGUAUGUCCUGUUUUCGCAUAGCCUGAGACAUAGGCGUGUCUACUGGCCAUGUGAGGCACACGGCCUGUUUACACGGGCGUGUGGCCUUUAUAUGCAUGAAAAAUUUUAAAGUUUUCUAAUAUGAUUAGUUUAGUCCCGAACCACUUCUAAGCAUGUUUUAAGGCCUCGAUGAGCCUCAUAAGGGACGAUAUGACUGUGUUUGAUGUUGAUUAUGUGAUAUUGAAUUAUAAAUAAGAAUUAUGUGUUAUAAGCUGAGUUUUGAUCGGUAAUACCUCGUAGCCCUAUUCUGACGAUAGACACAAGUUUAGGGGUGUUACAAGGCACACUUAGAUUUACUCUCGUACUCUCAGAGGAUGAAAGAGUUCUCUAAUUCCUAGACGGUCGAGUACAAAAUAUAUGCUCCAAUUCCUAUAGGGUCGUGAGCAUAUAUUGGUAUAUUGAUCCAUGUACCUGCCCUUGAAUGCAAAAUUGGUUUAUAGGAGCAAAAGAAUGAAAAUGAUAUGCGAUUAUAAUGUAAAGUGCUAUGUGAUUGUGAUAGCCCGAAAUAGGGCCUAAUCGGAAUAGUGGUUUCGUAACCACAAAUCCGAAGUGAAAUAGUUUUAUUUUAUAAAUUUUUAUUAGUUAUUGAUUGAUUGAAAUAUUGUGUGAAAAUAUUGAUAGAAAAUUUUAAUGAUUUAGUGCCUAAUUAAAUUUUUAGGACUAAAUUGAGAAAAAUGCAAAGUGUGUCUAAUUAGUGAUUAAAUGACUUAAUUGAAUUAUUGCAUGAAAUUGGAAGUGUUUAUGUGGCAAUUAGACCAUAAAUUAGUGAUAUGGACACAAAAGGGUAAUUCUAGAAAAAUAUCUAAGUAAUGGGUCAAGGGCAUUUUUGUCCAAAUUAGAAAAAGACAAAAUAAUGAGAAAAUAAGUGUCCAUCUUCUUAAAAAUCAGAAGCUUGCUGCCGAAAUUUUCAUGUCACCAUAGCUAGGGUUCUUGAUCUUCCUAAGCUCAAUUGUAGGUGAUUUCUUGCCCCGUUUUUAAUUAUUUUCGUAUUUUUAUGCUUAUUGAAGCUUGAAUUUCAUGUUUCUACCAUUUAAUUUAAAUGAAAUUAAAGUUUAAAAAUUGACCCAUUCAUGAUAUAAUUCUAAAUUGAUUAGUGAUGUUAGAUAAUGAAUGUUUGAAGUGUUAAUUACAAGUUUUACUAGAUGAAUUUCAAUGAAAAUGUUGAAAAAGGGCUAAAUUAUGAAAGAUGGUAAAGUGUGCAUAAAGUUGUGAUUUUGUGAAAUUUAGGGAUGUUAUGAGCAUGAAGUAUGAUUUAGUGAAGUUUGAAAUUUAAAAAUUUAGUGAAUUUUAUUUUUACGAGCUUAGGGACAAAAGUGGAAUUUUUGAAAAGUUUCGGGGAAAAAUGUAAAUUUGCCAAAAUGUUGUGUAUGAAUUGUAUUUGAAUGAAAUGUUGAUAAAAUGUAUUAAAUUGUGUUAAUAUAUAUCAAGAAAGAAGAAAUAGUGGAAGUGAUCGAGGAAAAGAGAAAGUUAUCGACUAAAUUACAAAAAUAGUCGUUUUGCAUCCGAGGUAAGUUACGUGUAAAUAAUAGUUAUAUUUUUAUAAAUUGUGAAUUAUAUUUGAUAUGUGAAUUAAUAUUCAAUGUGGAACGAAAAUUAUUCAUGAAUUAUUCAAGUGAUAAAGUGUUGAAAAUAAAGUGUUAAGUGUAAAUUCCCGGUUGAACUUAGGAAUAGAAGUGGAUACAAGUGACAUGUCACUAGAGAUCAGUGUUACAGUGUUACAGUGAGUCCCGGGUGCUGGGUGAUCUAGCAUGUGUUGCAGACACCUGACAGCUUGUGUGAGCAGGCCCGUGGACAUUUCCAGUGUUAUUGAUCAGUGGUAGCUUCGGCUACAUAACAGUGGUAGCUUCGGCUACAUAUCAGUGUUGCACUUAUGUGCUAAAUCUCUACGUAUCUGUGUAUAUUCCGAGUGUUCAACGGGAUUAAUAAUGAGUUAAAGUGAAUAUGAAAUGAAGUGUGUAUGCAGGUACAUUUGAAAAGAAUGAGCAUAAGUGAUAAAGGUUAAGUGUGAAAAUGUAUAUGCAAGUGAAUUGGUAAGAUUGUGCAUGUGUAAGUGAUUGAAAUUGCUAGGAAAUGUUUUGAUUAGUUAUAUCUUAAAAGUGUUAAUUAUUAAAUGAGUAAUUAUUGUUUACAUAUAACUUACUAAGCUAUUAGUAGCUUACACCUUCCUUCUUUUCCUUUGUUUUAUAGUGAUUUGAACUUGAUCGAAUUGGGGAUCGUCGGAGCUCGUAUCACACUAUCAUAAUCAUCUCAGUACUGUGUGCUUUUCAAAAUAUUUAAAACUAUGGCAUGUAUAGAGUCUUAAUCAUUUUGAGUAUGUUCAUAUGAUAUGGCUAAGAUUAGCUAUUGAAAUGGUUAGUAAAGAUUAUGUUUUGGUAUUAUGUAUGUGUAAAUGGUAACUAAUUCAAAGAAGCAGUUUCUUUGACAGCAGCAGUGACGUGAAUGUAAAAAUUCACCAUAAAUAGUAGAAAUGGAAUUAGAGAGUGAAUUAUAUAUGGAAUUAAAGCUUAUCAAGUCUAUUUUAUAUGAAAGAAACGUGUAGGCAAAGGAAUCCUGUAUUUUGAGAUAUUUGAAUUUUAGUGAGACAAGGUCAGAAUGAUUUUUGAAGUCCCCUGUUCUGACUUUAGAAAAUCAUUAUAAAUUGCACAGAAAGAAUUAUAAGUCAUAAUUUAUAUGUCUAUAUUCCUUAGUGAGUCUAUUUUCAAAAGAAACAGACGAUAAGCUUAUAUGAAUUCUGUCCAAUAAGAUAAUUGAUUUUUAGUGCCAGGAGGUUAGACCUGUUGAGCCGUGAAACAGGGGAUACUUUAAUGAAUAAAUUGUACUAAUUGGCUAAGUCAAAAAUUCUGAAAAUUUUAUGGUAAGUAGGAAUAUGAGUCUAGUUUCAGGGAAAAUUUACGUAUUUAAAUUAGUGACAGUCAUGCAGGUGGACAGUUUUGUUGUGAACAGUGAAUUUAAUUUUAAAAGCAAAUCUUUAUGCUCCGAAUUGGUAAGUUAAAUUGGUUGACAUCUCGUACUCGAUUCCGGCGACGGUCUCGGGUAAGGGGUGUUACAGUGAUUGUAUAUGAAAUUGAUAUAUGGCCAAACUAUGAUAACUAAACUUGGUUAUUGAUACAUGAAAAUGAGAUUCAAAUUUCCUAAGCGUACAUCAGUACUUUGUGAUUCGAAUAAUGAAAUGAUAUGGUGAAAAUGAGAUACUAUGUACACGAUGUGUAAAAUCUGAGAAAGUUGUAAGCUGGAAUUGUAACACCCCUUACCCGAGAACGUUGCCGGAGUCGAGCAAGAGGUAUUAGUUACCUUAUCUUACUAAUUCGAAGCAUAAAAACUUGUUUUGAAAAUUAAUUUCACUAUUUAUAGCAAUCUGUCCAAUCAUGCAAUAGUUACUAAAUUAAUUAUAAAUCGAGCUACAGAACUCAAAAUUUAAAUCCGUAAAUUUUUCUUGAAACUAGACUCAUAUAUCUACUCACCAUAAAAUUUUUAUAAUUUUUGGUUCAGCCAAUUAGUACAGUUUAUUAGUUAAAAUCUCCCCUAUUUCACCAAUUGACUGCCCUGACCUCUUGUCACUAAAAAUAAAUUUUCUCAUUGUAGGAUUUUCAUAUGGUGUUCUUACUUAUUCCUACAGAAAAUAGACUCAAUAAUUAAUCUAAUAAUGUAAAGUACAGUUCAAAAAUAUUUUUUUUACAAUUUUUAAUGAUUUUCUAAACUCAGAACAGGGGACUCCAAAAAUAGUUCUGACCCUAUCUCACUAAAAUUAACAUAUCUUAAAAUAUAAAUUUCAUUUUUCUAAACCAUUAUUUUUCCUUGAAAAUAGACUCAACAAGCUUUCAUUCCAUAUAUCAUUCACCCUCUAAUUCAUUUUAUACCAUCUUAGGUGAUUUUUCAAAUUCAUGUCACUGUGCUGCCUGAAUUCUAUUUCUUUACAAGAUUUUAUCCUUUCAUGAUUUCCAUGCAUAAUUUAUCACCUGGCCUUUUAUAACAACAAACAUCUUCAUACUUAACCAUUUUAAUAACCAUUCAUCAUCAAAUACUCACACACCAUUCUUUAGCAAAAUCAUAAUUACAAACAUGCAAAAUAACUAAGUCCCUAUACAUGCCAUAACUCAAACAUGUUUCAUCAUAAAAUACCGAGCAAUUGUUCUUGAUAGUGUAGACGAUCUCUGACCUCUUUAGGAUCCUUGAUGCAGCUUUGCAAUACUAUAAGAGAAAGAAAAAUAAAAGAAGUGGCUUCAUUGUCUUGAAACACACUAUUGAAUUUUGAUAAAUCGAGUUUAGAUUCGCAUCCUGACUCUACGCUUAACCCCUUACUACGUCAAAUUGUGUGGUCCCAAUCGAUCGUGAUUAAAUGAGAAACAUUAGCAUAGUAAGAAAAUAUGAAAUUAUGCCAUGUUUUCCACUUAAAGUCAAUGAAAAGAAUUGAGAUGGUUCACAUUCGUAAUGUGACACUUGUACUCAAAUCCGGUGAUCAAAUUCAAUGUGAAGUGUCACAUCUUUAGUUGAUAUGUCCAAGUCUGUGAUGCCACAAGUCUGAGUCACUAAUGAAAGAUUUGUUGCAUGUAGUUUGGCUGAUCAUUCUACAGUAGUUGUGAAGUGACCUUGCCCCUUUCAUUAAGGACCCCUUUUUUUAAUGUAUAACCUCGUAACCAUAUUUGAUGAAGUUGACACGGUAUCCUUGAUCACAUAAUUUAUUAAUGGUAAUUAAAAUAGCCUUAAGUCUCUCCAUGAAGUGAACAUUUUUAACCUAGGGAUUCCUAAAUUUUGAGAAUGUCCAUCCCAAUUAUUUUGCUUUUCCUGCCAUCACCCAAUGUGACAUUUUUUACAUUGCAACUUUGUAAGUACUUCAAAUAAUGUUUAUUACCUAUCAUGUGACGAGAAUAAUCAUUUUCAAAGUAUCAAAUCUUCUUAGUGAUGGCAUUUAAGGACGUAUGGACUAUUUACGGGUGUUGAGUACAUAAAAAAUAAAUUAAAUUUGCAAUAUAGAGAAUAAGGUAGAUCUCACAGAGACUAAUCUGAUCGAUUUUAUUAAAGUUGAUUGAUCAAAUCUGAUGACGAAACUGAUAAGACCGUAAAAAUCAACUUAAACUAAAACUGAAAACAGAAUUAAUGUAUUAUUAAGUACUGAAAUUGUAUAGAAUAGAGUACUUACUGUACAUAAACAACGGUGAUGAAGAAUUAUUAAGUACUAUAAUGAAGACGAGGAGGAAUGCUUUGUUCAUGCUUAAAGAAAUUCUUUGGAUCAGUCUUCGUCUUGACAUAAACAAGCCUAUCAAAAUUAUUCUUGAAAUAUUUACGUCCCCAAUUGCUUGCUUGCUUAUAACUUGUCUUGCCAUAGUAAUUAUUGCUUCCGAUAUCGAGAUCUCUGUAAUUAACAUACGCUUCUCGUGGAGAUUUCGAAACAAAAGGACCCAUGUAGCUAUAAAGUUUGCUCAUCCAGCUUAUAUACCUUUGAGAAUUAUUGUUUUCCUCUUCUUGCCAAGCGAUAACGUAGCUUAUCUUGUAUAAGGUGCCGUUUCGAUGUGGAAAUGGAGUUUCUGUCUCUGAGAUUUCGUCCAUUAUUCCACCGUAAGCAUAAAAGUUUUGAACUGCUGUGCCUCCUUCGUCGACCUCUAGAAGGUGGAGCAAUAGCCCUUGUAAUGCUAUUUCAGGCAUUGGUUCCCUCACGUAAUCUGAUUUUGAUUUGACAAAAGGAGGAAGAAUGGUAUACCUGUUGCUCCUAUCGAGCAAAAUCUCCGAUGUUUCAUUUGAAAGUCCGUUCAUAAACAAUAGAGAUUCGACCCAAGUCAUCUCAAUAAAAUCCUCCUUAACGAGUCCAAGCUCCGGGAAUCGUUCUUGCAUCAAUGGAAUAAACUCAUUGGCACCACCUUGGAACAAUGAAACAAAGGUGGCAAGAACCGUCUUUGUCCCAUUUUCACUGGCGUUCGUCGUUGAUAUCGUAACGACUGGGUAUACAUCAUUCGGAAGAUUGGGUGCAACGUAUUGCCAACGAUGAAGAAGCUGUGUUGCAUUUUGUUCCAAGGUCCUGCCCACUGAGAAAAUAGUCACAGUUGAAGGAACAUGAACCAGCUUUAUUUUCCAUGAAAUAACGAUCCCAAAGCUUCCCCCUCCGCCACCUCGAAUGGCCCAAAACAGAUCUUCACCCAUCGAUCUUCUAUCAAGAACUCUUCCAUUAGCAUCGACCAACUGCGCAUCGAUCACGUUAUCCGCCGAGAGACCAUAUUUUCGGAACAAUGAACCAUCGCCUCCACCGCUAAUGGACCCACCAAUUCCUACAGUGCGGAAAACAGCUGCUGGGAAGGAAAGGUUCGUGCUUCGUUCAUUGAUUCUGUAGUAUACUUCACCCACGGUUGCACCUGAUUGAACCCACGCCUCUUCGUUUUCGACAUCAACAUCGACUGAUCGCAAAUUAACCAAAUCGAUAACAACAAAUGGGACAGGGGAGACAAAGGAAAGACCUUCGAAGUCAUGACCACCACUUCGAGUUCUAAUUUCUAGGCCAUGCUUUUUGGAGCAAUAAAUCGUUGCUUGAACGUGGGAAAUGUUCAAUGGUGUUACAAUAACCAAUGGUUUGGGGGUAUUAGGCGUAGAGAACCUCUGAUUCCUAAUGGAAGAAUUCAAAAGUGCUAAAUAUGAAGAGUUCGUUUCAGUGUAGAUAACUUGAGUAAUGGAAGAGGAUUCAUUGGGAUGAUAUGAAUAAAGGCAUUCAAGAAAAUCAUCGUGGCUAUUAGCUGAAGCAGUCACCCAUGACAAUGAGCAAACAACAAUGAAAAGCAAUGACAGAGAACGGUGAAGGAACUUCAUGUUUAUGGAAGUGAUGAAUUUGUGAAGUUUGCAGCAAGAUAUUCCCCUUAUUUAUAGAGGCAAUGCUUUGAGCCGCCAUGUGAACCAAAGUUCAAGAAACCCAGGUAUUUGAAGUCAGUUCAUAUAUAAUAAUGGCACAUGCUGCUCAUUUCCUUG